GAUGAACGCUGGCGGCGUGCCUAAUACAUGCAAGUCGAGCGAAUGGAUUAAGAGCUUGCUCUUAUGAAGUUAGCGGCGGACGGGUGAGUAACACGUGGGUAACCUGCCCAUAAGACUGGGAUAACUCCGGGAAACCGGGGCUAAUACCGGAUAAUAUUUUGAACUGCAUGGUUCAAAAUUGAAAGGCGGCUUCGGCUGCCACUUAUGGAUGGACCCGCGUCGCAUUAGCUAGUUGGUGAGGUAACGGCUCACCAAGGCAACGAUGCGUAGCCGACCUGGGAGGGUGAUCGGCCAAACUGGGACUGAGACACGGCCCAGACUCCUACGGGAGGCAGCAGUAGGGAAUCUUCCGCAAUGGACGAAAGUCUGACGGAGCAACGCCGCGUGAGUGAUGAAGGCUUUCGGGUCGUAAAACUCUGUUGUUAGGGAAGAACAAGUGCUAGUUGAAUAAGCUGGCACCUUGACGGUACCUAACCAGAAAGCCACGGCUAACUACGUGCCAGCCGCCGUAACAC
rnacentral:rRNA from 1 species